rnacentral:rRNA from 1 species
AGAGUUUGAUCCUGGCUCAGGAUGAACGCUAGCGGCAGGCCUAAUACAUGCAAGUUGAACGGUAACUCUUGUAGCAAUAUGAGAGCUAGAGUAGCGUAAGGGUGCGUAACACGUAUGCAAUCUACCCGCAACAGGAGGAUAGCUCUUCGAAAGAGGAAUUAAGACUCCAUAAUACCAUAUGAGGGCAUCUGAGUAUGGUUAAACUACAAGGGGUUGUGGAUGAGCAUGCGUCUGAUUAGUUAGUUGGCGGGGUAACGGCCCACCAAGACGAUGAUCAGUAGGGGAACUGAGAGGUUGGUCCCCCACACUGGCACUGAGAUACGGGCCAGACUCCUACGGGAGGCAGCAGUAGGGAAUAUUGGACAAUGGGUGCAAGCCUGAUCCAGCCAUGCCGCGUGCAGGAAGAAGGCCUUCUGGGUUGUAAACUGCUUUUUUCAGGGGAUAAAAUACUCGUGCGCGAGGAAUUGAAAGUACCUGGAGAAUAAGCCACGGCUAACUACGUGCCAGCAGCCGCGGUAAUACGUAGGUGGCGAGCGUUGUCCGGAUUUAUUGGGUUUAAAGGGUGCGUAGGCGGCUAUUUAAGUCAGUGGUGAAAUACGGCAGCUUAACUGUCGAGGUGCCAUUGAUACUGGGUAGCUAGAGUACUGAUGAGGUAGGCGGAAUGGACGGUGUAGCGGUGAAAUGCUUAGAGAUCGUCCAGAACACCGAUAGCGAAGGCAGCUUACUAAGGAGUAACUGACGCUGAGGCACGAAAGUGUGGGGAUCAAACAGGAUUAGAUACCCUGGUAGUCCACACUGUAAACGAUGAUUACUCGAUGUGUGCGAUACACGGCACGCGUCUUAGCAAAAGCGAUAAGUAAUCCACCUGGGGAGUCCGCCGGCAACGGUGAAACUCAAAGGAAUUGACGG